UCUCUCUCUCUAUAUAUAUAUAUAUAUAUAUAUAUAUAUAUCAAUAUUUAAUUUCUUCUGCGAUUUCUCUGCAUUCCACCAGUGUUGUUGAUUGAUUCUUUGAUUUCUCUUCAACUCCACCUGUGCGGCUGACGGAGGCAAGCGGCGGACGGCAAUUUUCGGCUAACGGCAGAAAUUUCAAGCCUAUUAUUCUACUCUUGAAGACCAAUUUUGCUCCAAUUUCUCUUCCACUCCUCUUUUUGAGGUUUUGGCGUGAUAGCAGACCUCGAGAUUCGAACGGAGGAAAUGCACACUUUCUAUUUAAGAAUUGAAAAAUAAAGGGUUGAUGAUGAAUUAGUGGGUGAAUUGCAGCAUAGUAAAUGCAUAUAUGAAGAAUAUGAUCCUUCGGUCCUUACUCGUAGAUCAAAUCAACAUGAUUUUGGGGAAGGAACAUCCCGGGCAAACAGGGAGGAAGAUCCUGCUGAUGAACAUGAAACAAGCGACGAAGAAUCAUUUGAUGAAAAUGAAACAAGCGAUGAGGAAGAAUUACUGGAUGAAAAUGAAACAAGCAAUGAAGAAGAAUUAAAAAAUGAAUAUCAAUCAAGCGAAGAGGAUUGACAUAUGGCACCAAGUAAAAAAAAGAAGAUAAGACACGCUUCCCAGCUUCCUCAGCAUGCUUCAGGUCCCACUAGCUCGUCUGUGCCAUUUAUGAGUCAUCCUCUUCCUCCUCCUCCUCCUCCUCCCCCUCCUCCUUAUCAGCCUCCUCAGCAGACUUCACUGCCACCCGGCUUUUUCACUUUGCCCCCUUGUGAUCCAGUUCAAUAUAAGCCUAUCUCUAUUUCCCAGAGCAUGCCUACUAUACCAUCUUCUUCGACAGCUUAUCGUACUAGUCAGCAUGGUGGCUCCUUAUCUAUGCCUCCGUCAUCAUUCGCUCCAUCCCAAAGCUACCAUGUUAGUCAGAAUGGUGGUCCUGCAUCUAUGGCUCCAUCUUCAUCUCCAUCAUCAUCCACUCCUAGCGUUUCUACGCCGCAUGUUGGAGGCUCUACAAUACCGUCAUCCCCAUCCAUUGAUACAUCUACACAUGCUCCUGAUGAUACACAGACUCAGACUAUUGAAGAGAUUGUAUCAUAUGAUUCUCUUCACAGACUGAUUAUCAUUCCUGAUGGGACUACUAGGUUUGUUCCCUCCAAUGAAUCUACGAAGGUGGUUGUGGAUUGUGUUAAAGCAUUUUACCGAGAUGCUUGGAGUAAAUGCUCAGAUAUACCGUAUUUUUACAGAGAGCAGAUGUGGAAUCAAUUUAGGACAAGGUGUGCAUGGAUUCCAAAAUAUCAUUAGCAAAUAAGUCAUAAUUUUGAGAAAAAAGGUGCUGAUAGGCUGAAAAAUCUCUUAUAUAAAGCUUGGCAACGUGGCGAGAAGCCCGGUUGGAUGCUAAAAGAUAUAUGGGAUAGACUUAAUGUGACAUGGGCUUCUAAAGAAUUUAAGAAGAGAAGCAAUGCUCCAAAGGCUGCCCGAGCCUCCAAUACGGGUGGCUCAUUGCACACUGGGGGUUCAGUUAGUAUGGAGACCCAUCGAAGGAGAAUGGAAAAGGAAAAAGGAAGACUUGUGACUUAUGCUGAGGUCUUUGAGGACAAACAUAUGAAAAAGAAAAAGGACGGUACAAGAGAAUGGGUCGAGCCGCGUGCUUCGAGGACAUAUGUAAGAUCCUAACUACAAGAUUCUCUAGUUUCUUAGAACUGACUUUAUGGAUUGUCGAACCAAUAUAGUAAAUAGUAUUGUCCAAAGUCUUCGGUUUUAAAAUUAUUCAUCAAAGCUAAACCAGAAAAUCUAUCGCGCGGUCAUUAACUUCCUACAUUCAUAACAUAUAAUUCUUGAAAGACCUAAGACAACUAUGAUCUCAUUCAUAAGGAAACACAUCAAGAUUCUAUAUGUUGUCGCUAUGAUCCUUGUACCUGCUAACAUCAGAAAGGAUGUUUCCUACUACUGGUAUUUUGUGAUUAAGAAAAUUAGAACUCUUUCUGUUGGGGAUGCAGUCCAUUAAUUAGUUGUUAUUACUCUGAUCCUUGUGUACUUGAAAAUUAGAUAAGGAAUUUCAAAGAACUAUCUUCUUUUGGUUGCAUGUCCUUCUAUUAUGGCCAGUUCUUCGACUCUUGCUGCAAUGAUGGUUAAUCUUGACUUAAUUAAAAGGUUGAUUUCCAUUGCUACUCAAAAUCGAAUUACGGAAAACUGAAAAAUAAAAUCAAAUUUAUUGGAAUAGAAGUGUGAGUUUGGAGGGCGAAUGGAGGUUGGCUGAUUUUGAAGUUAGAAGCAGUGCUGGACAGUAAGCUUUUCCCUUCGUCUUCACUUUAAUAUUUUGUUUCUCCAGCCUUUAGGUAAACUAGCAGCGAAAUUUCUAAGUGCAUAUCAUUAAAUGAUAAUCUCUCCUUCACCCGUUUAAGUGGAUUUGUAGAAAUGUUAGGCCCCUUCAAUGUGUGAAGAACUGCUGUUUCUCCUUCCCCGUGACUGUUAUUCUCAAUCUUGCGCUCUCUAUGCUACACUAGCAAGUCUGGUCUCAUGUAUCAGGAAGCCUAUCAAAAACGUUUUGAGGAAUGGCGUCAAAGUCAACCCGAUACCAAGGAUGGUAGCUCAACCCAAGUGUCACUCAAUGAUGUAGCUUCAACAUGGGCGCAGGUGGUUGGUGGCGCAAAGAAAGGUAGAACUUGCGGUCUUGGAUCACAACAUUCCGUAGGUCGUUCUACGAUAUUGUUGGCUGGUGAUGCGAGUUAUUCGCAAAAUCACGAAGAGGUGGAAGCAUUACGAAAAGAAGUUGAAGAGUUGAAGGAGGAACGGAAAGAAGAUCGCGCAAAUUUUAACAAAUUGCAGAGUCUAGUGGAGAAAUUUAUAAGAAAGCGUCCAUUUGAUCCGAAUGGUUAGGAUGACAGCGAUGAUGAGUUUUAGUUUGUUGUGGUUGUGAUGUUUGAGACAUUAUUUUUUGUUGUGGUUGGAUGAUUAGACUUAGUAAUGUUUAAACUUGACUAUGAUUGUAAUGUUUUAGACUAGGUUGAAUGGUGCUUCAAUGUUUAACUUGUGUUUGGAUGUUUUAGUUAUAAA